UACAGAGGUCCCAAGCGUUGUUCGGAUUCAUUGGGCGUAAAGGGUGCGUAGGUGGCGCCGUAAGUCGGGUGUGAAAUUUCGGAGCUUAACUCCGAAACUGCAUUCGAUACUGCGGUGCUUGAGGACUGGAGAGGAGACUGGAAUUUACGGUGUAGCGGUGAAAUGCGUAGAUAUCGUAAGGAAGACCAGUGGCGAAGGCGGGUCUCUGGACAGUUCCUGACGCUGAGGCACGAAGGCCAGGGGAGCAAACGGG
rnacentral:rRNA from 1 species